AAGAGAGUCAACCUGACUCACAGUUUGGGAACAUGAACAUCCUCCAGAUAUGAGUUUCACUAUGUACCCCAUACAUGCUUCAAACUCAGGAUCCUCCUGUCUGAGUAUCAUCAGUGCCAGAAUCGUGACCUGCAUCACUAUGACAGCUCUAAUCUUGAGGCUACAUGGACGAUGGCACAGAAGACCCAGCAUCAACACUGCAGUGAAUGUUGCCUUUCAGAGCCAAGGCUGGGCAGAAGGAAG